UACAUGCACCUUAAGAGGCGAUUUAAUUUGUCCUGAUAUUCACCUGUUGUCCCACAUUUACUUAAGUAUAUGAAAUAUCAUUUCAGGAAUGAAAGAGAAGAAAUACUACUUUCUAAGAAAGAAGAUCGUGUAAUAAACAUUUAGUAGGCUAAACGACUCCUUGGAAAGAGUCCUGUUAUAUUUUCCUUCAAAAUGCAUCUCAAUUGAGCUAUACUACAAUUUAGUUGAGCCUGGAGAAUAUGAUGCUGGGGCUGGUGUUGUUGCAAAGUGACAUAAACAGCAUCCUGGCUGCUCCUCUUCCAAUCCACCUUCCUGCUAAUGACCUGGAAAAGCAGCAGAAGAUGGCCCAAGUGCUUGGACCCCUGCCACCCACGUGUGACACCUGAAUGAAUCUCCUGGCUCCUGCCUUUGGCCUGGCCCAGUCCUGGCCAUUGUGGACAUCUGGGGAAGUGAUCCAGUGGGUGAAAGAUCUCUCUGUGUGUUUCCCUCUUUUUGUAACUGUUUCAAAUAAAUAAAUAAUCAUAAAAA